GCUUGUCUCAAAGAUUAAGCCAUGCAUGUCUAAGUGUAAAUAAGUCUAUACUGUGAAACUGCGAAUGGCUCAUUAAAUCAGUUAUCGUUUAUUUGAUGAUCUCUUACUACUUGGAUAACCGUAGUAAUUCUAGAGCUAAUACAUGCACAAAAUCCCGACUUACGAAGGGAUGUAUUUAUUAGAUACAAACCAACAUCGUGGUGAUUCAUAAUAACUUUGCGAAUCGUAUGCCUCACGGCGACGAUGAAUCAUUCAAAUUUCUGCCCUAUCAACUUUCGAUGGUAAGGUAUUGGCUUACCAUGGUUUCAACGGGUAACGGAUUUUUAGGGAAAGAUCCCGGAGAGGGAGCCUGAGAAACGGCUACCACAUCCAAGGAAGGCAGCAGG
rnacentral:rRNA from 1 species